rnacentral:rRNA from 1 species
GUUAGGAAUAUUGGACAAUGGGCGCAAGCCUGAUCCAGCCAUGCCGCGUGAACGAUGAAGGCCUUCGGGUUGUAAAGUUCUUUAGCCGAUGAUUAUAAUGACUGUAGUCGGAAAAUAAGCCCCGGCUAACUUCGUGCCAGCAGCCGCGGUAAUACGAAGGGGGCGAGCGUUAUUCGUAAUCACUGGGCGUAAAGCGUGCGUAGGCGGUCUCGUAAGUUAGGAGUGAAAGCCCAGGGCUCAACCUUGGAAUUGCUCUUAAAACUGCAAGGCUAGAAUCUCGGAGAGGAUAGCGGAAUUUCCAGUGUAGCAGUGAAAUGCGUAGAUAUUGGAAGGAACACCAGUGGCGUAAGCGGCUAUCUGGACGAGUAUUGACGCUGAGGCACGAAAGCGUGGGGAUCAAACAGGAUUAGAAACCCGGGUAGUCC